UAGGGAAUUUUCGGCAAUGGGCGGAAGCCUGACCGAGCGACGCCGCGUGGGCGAGGAAGUACUUCGGUAUGUAAAGCCCUGUUAUGAAGGAAGAACGGCGCAGGCAGGGAAUGGCCUGCGAGUGACGGUACUUCAUGAGGAAGCCACGGCUAACUACGUGCCAGCAGCCGCGGUAAUACGUAGGUGGCGAGCGUUAUCCGGAAUCAUUGGGCGUAAAGAGGGAGCAGGCGGUGCGAGAGGUCUGCGGUGAAAGCCCGAAGCCAAACUUCGGGGAGCCGUGGAAACCGGCGCGCUAGAGAGCGGCAGAGGAUCGUGGAAUUCCAUGUGUAGCGGUGAAAUGCGUAGAUAUAUGGAGGAACACCGGUGGCGAAGGCGACGAUCUGGGCCGCAGCUGACGCUC
rnacentral:rRNA from 1 species